rnacentral:rRNA from 1 species
GACGAACGCUGGCGGCGUGCUUAAUACAUGCAAGUCGAGCGGAAGGACGCUGCUUUUGUUUCUUUCUCGAUUGGCGAACGGGUGAGUGACACAUGUGUAACCUGUCCUUGACUUUCGGAGAACUUCAGGGAACUGGGUCUAAUACCGCAUAUAAUCUCCUGCUGCGUGUUGUGGGUUGGUAAGAUUCGGCGGUUGUGGAUGGUCUCGCUGCUUAUCAGCUUGUUUGUGGGGUAGUUGAUUACCAGGGCUUUGACGGGUAGCCGGCCUGAGAGGGUGACCGGCCACCUUGGGACUGAGAGACGGACCAGACUCGUACGGGAGGCAGUAGUGGGAAGUAUUGCACAACGGGCGGAAGCGUGAUGCAGAAACCCCGCGUGCGGGAUGCCGGCCUUCGGGGUGUAAACCGAUUUCGACUGUGACGAAGCGUGCGUGACGGUAACGGGUCAAGAAGCACCGGCUAACUACGUG